rnacentral:lncRNA from 1 species
UUUUCUGUCACGCCAUCUUUACGUCACCUGAUCUCUAUAAAUGGAUGAGGACUGAGAGGAUUUGCAGUGAGGCAGCCACAUCUGUACAGAAGAAGCAGAGCAUAGAAAAUACUUAACAGAUGAACAGCAGAUGAGAUGGAAAUGGAAAACCAAGAUAACACUGAAGAAGCAGGAGAAGACUCUGCAAUCAAAUCUGUAACACCAUCUGUGAAUUAUUGCAAAGGCAAAUGUCCUCUCUGUUUUGCAAAAUGUUCCACUGUCUUCUCUAACUUUCCAGUAAAAGAGGAACGUUCACCUAAAGCCAAGUCUGAGUCACUGAAUAAACCUGGUGAAGCUGAACAAGUGGAGCAAAACAAAGUGUUUGAAGUAACAUCUACCACCAUGUUAUCUACCAUCCUCAAGAAAGCAAAUGAAGAGGAGAAGUGUGCAGCUAAAACAGAGUUUGGUAAAGUGAAUGAACCUGAUCACUCACAUAAGAAUGAUGACAGCACAACAGUAGGAGAGUCUAACCAUUCAACAAGAGAAAGUGGUGUUACAGAGGUCAGCAGUGAAAGCAGCAGAAACAUCAGUGAUGGCUCCGUGGAGAACAGAGAUACAGUGGAGACAUCAAGUCUAACAUCUCAGACUGUUUCAACAGAGGUACAACAAUGUGAGGAAACAAUAAAAUGCCUCCUGUUUUUGUUUUCUUUAUUUCCAAGGUACAGUGAAACAUACAGACGUGGACAAAAUUAUUGGCACCCUUCUAUUAAAGAAAGAAAAACCUACAAUAG